rnacentral:misc_RNA from 1 species
UGCCUCGGCGGGAUCUCUGCCCCGGGUGCGUCGCAGCCCCGGACCAAGGCGCCCGCCGGAGGACCAACCAAAACUCUUUUUGUAUACCCCCUCGCGGGUUUUUUAUAAUCUGAGCCUUCUCGGCGCCUCUCGUAGGCGUUUCGAAAAUGAAUCAAAACUUUCAACAACGGAUCUCUUGGUUCUGGCAUCGAUGAAGAACGCAGCGAAAUGCGAUAAGUAAUGUGAAUUGCAGAAUUCAGUGAAUCAUCGAAUCUUUGAACGCACAUUGCGCCCGCCAGUAUUCUGGCGGGCAUGCCUGUCCGAGCGUCAUUUCAACCCUCGAACCCCUCCGGGGGGUCGGCGUUGGGGAUCGGCCCUGCCUCUUGGCGGUGGCCGUCUCCGAAAUACAGUGGCGGUCUCGCCGCAGCCUCUCCUGCGCAGUAGUUUGCACACUCGCAUCGGGAGCGCGGCGCGUCCACAGCCGUUAAACACCCAACUUCUGAAAUGUUGACCUCGGAUCAGGUAGGAAUACCCGCUGAACUUAAGCAUAUCAAUAAGCGGAGGAAA